rnacentral:rRNA from 1 species
GAUCAAAUCAAGCGCGAAAAGGGCGUUUGGUGAAUGCCUUGGCAGUAAGAGGCGAUGAAAGACGUGAUACUCUGCGAUAAGCCAUGAGGAGCUGAGAAUAAGCUUUGAUCCAUGGAUCUCUGAAUGGGGCAACCCACCUAAUACUGUGUUAUUACUAUCCACGAGGCCUUUGGGUCGAAAUGGCUGGCUAAUAAUGCGGUGAACUAGGUACUUCUAACCUGAAUACAUAGGGUUAAAAGAGCAAACCCGGGGAACUGAAACAUCUAAGUACCCGGAGGAAAGGAAAUCAAUAGAUACUCCCAUAGUAGCGGCGAGCGAAAUGGGACCAGCCGAGCCAUGAUUGUGAAUAGAAUUUGCUGGGAAGCAAAACCAUAGUGGGUGACAGUCCCGUAUAUGAAGCAUGAAUGGACGUAUUAAGUAGGGCGGAACACGUGAAAUUCUGUCUGAACAUCGGAGGACCACCUUCGAAGGCUAAGUACUCCUUACUGACCGAUAGUGAACCAGUACCGUGAGGGAAAGGUGAAAAGCACCCCGACGAGGGGAGUGAAACAGUACCUGAAACCGAACGCCUACAAUCAGUUGGAGGGCCCUUGCGGCCUGACAGCGUACCUUUUGUAUAAUGGGUCAUCGACUUGGUCUAUCUAGCAAGCUUAAGCCGUUAGGUGUAGGCGCAGCGAAAGCGAGUCUUAAUAGGGCGAAUGAGUUAGGUGGAUCAGACCCGAAACCGAGUGAUCUAGGCAUGUCCAGGAUGAAGGUUAGGUAACACUAACUGGAGGUCCGAACCCACAUCUGUUGAAAAAGAUCGGGAUGAGGUGUGCCUAGGGGUGAAAGGCCAAUCAAACUCGGAGAUAGCUGGUUCUCUGCGAAAUCUAUUUAGGUAGAGCGUCAUCCGAAUACCCCGGGGGGUAGAGCACUGGAUGGGCAAUGGGGGCUUACCGCCUUACUGACCCUAACCAAACUCCGAAUACCCGGGAGUACUAGAUGGCAGACACACUGUGGAUGCUAACGUCCAUAGUGAAGAGGGAAACAACCCUAACCUACAGCUAAGGCCCCUAAUUCAUGGCUAAGUGGGAAAGCAGGUGGGACGACCAAAACAACCAGGAAGUUGGCUUAGAAGCAGCCAUCUUUUAAAGAUAGCGUAACAGCUCACUGGUCUAAAUAAGUUGUCCUGCGGCGAAGAUGUAACGGGGCUCAAGCCAUGAGCCGAAGCUUAGGAUGCACAUAGUGCAUGGUAGCAGAGCGUAGUGUGACAUAAUUCCAUGCGUCCUUACCAUCCUUCGGGGUGGAUUGGACGCAAGGAAUUUUCGAUGAAGCCGGCCUGUGAGGGAUCCGGUGGAGAGAUCACUAGUGAGAAUGAUGACAUGAGUAGCGACAAACAGGGUGAGAGACCCUGUCGCCGAAAGUCCAAGGGUUCCUGCUUAAAGCUAAUCUGAGCAGGGUAAGCCGACCCCUAAGGCGAGGCCGAAAGGCGUAGUCGAUGGGAACCAGGUUAAUAUUCCUGGGCCAGGUGGUAGUGACGGAUCUCGAGGGUAGUUCAUCCUUAUUGGAUUGAAUGGGCUGCUUAGAGGUUCCAGGAAAUAGCUCCACCAUGAGAUCGUACCCUAAACCGACACAGGUGGACUGGUAGAGAAUACCAAGGCGCUUGAGAGAACGAUGUUGAAGGAACUCGGCAAAAUACCUCCGUAAGUUCGCGAGAAGGAGGCCCGGUUUCUACGCAAGUAUUGACUGGGGGCACAAACCAGGGGGUGGCGACUGUUUACUAAAAACACAGGGCUCUGCGAAGUCGCAAGACGACGUAUAGGGUCUGACGCCUGCCCGGUGCCUGAAGGUUAAAAGGAGGAGUGCAAGCUCCGAAUUGAAGCCCAGGUAAACGGCGGCCGUAACUAUAACGGUCCUAAGGUAGCGAAAUUCCUUGUCGGGUAAGUUCCGACCUGCACGAAUGGCGUAACGACUUCCCCGCUGUCUCCAACAUCGACUCAGCGAAAUUGAAUUACCUGUCAAGAUGCAGGUUUCCCGCGGUUAGACGGAAAGACCCCGUGCACCUUUACUACAGCUUCGCAUUGGUAUUAGACACAACAUGUGCAGAAUAGGUGGUAGGCUUUGAAGCAGGAACGCUAGUUUCUGUGGAGCCUCCUUUGAGAUACCACCCUUGUUUUGUUUGAUAUCUAACCGCGGUCCGUUAUCCGGAUCCGGGACCCUGCGUGGUGGGUAGUUUGACUGGGGCGGUCGCCUCCUAAAUAGUAACGGAGGCGCGCGAAGGUUGGCUCAGACCGGUCGGAAAUCGGUCGUUGAGUGCAAUGGCAUAAGCCAGCCUGACUGCGAGACUGACAAGUCGAGCAGAGACGAAAGUCGGUCAUAGUGAUCCGGUGGUCCCGAGUGGAAGGGCCAUCGCUCAACGGAUAAAAGGUACGCCGGGGAUAACAGGCUGAUACUGCCCAAGAGUCCAUAUCGACGGCAGUGUUUGGCACCUCGAUGUCGGCUCAUCUCAUCCUGGGGCUGGAGCAGGUCCCAAGGGUAUGGCUGUUCGCCAUUUAAAGAGGUACGUGAGCUGGGUUUAGAACGUCGUGAGACAGUUCGGUCCCUAUCUUCCGUGGGUGUAGGAUAUUUGAGAGGAGUUGCCCCUAGUACGAGAGGACCGGGGUGAACGUUCCACUGGUGGACCAGUUGUCGUGCCAACGGCAGUGCUGGGUAGCUAUGAACGGACAGGAUAACCGCUGAAGGCAUCUAAGCGGGAAGCCCCCCUCAAAACAAGAUAUCCCUGAGAGCCGAGGUAGACUACCUCGUCGAUAGGCCAGAGAUGUAAGCGCAGCAAUGCGUUCAGUUGACUGGUACUAAUGGCUCGAUAGGCUUGAUUUGAUCCAGU